rnacentral:misc_RNA from 1 species
GCAAACUUGGUCAUUUAGAGGAAGUAAAAGUCGUAACAAGGUUUCCGUAGGUGAACCUGCGGAAGGAUCAUUAAAGAGUUAGGGUCCCCCGGGGCCCGAACCUCCCACCCCUUGACGUCGCGAAUAAAUGUUGCCUUGGCUCGGCCGGUCCCCCGUUCCGCGGGGGGCGUCGGGGCUAUCCAGCCCCGGCAGCGCCAGCCAGGGUCCCCAACCAAACCCUUUAGUCAAUCAUGCGGUCAGAGUGUAAAAACACAAUCAAACAAAACUUUCAACAACGGAUCUCUUGGUUCUGGCAUCGAUGAAGAACGCAGC